GGGGCCGUAGCUUAGACUGGUUAGAGCACCCGGCUGAUAACCGGGAGGUCGUCGGUCCAAAUCCGAUCGGCCCCA
rfam:Thermoplasmatales archaeon I-plasma AMDT3_IPLC00004, whole genome shotgun sequence.